UUGAAAUUGUGUUUAAUGUAAAACGAAAAAAUAUUACUCGUAAUGCGUGUGGAACCAUAAAACUAUGGGAGGAAAAUCUUCUUUGAUGAAAAAGGUGAAACAGGUUUUUAGUAACCGCGUCCGAAGUGCAAACAAAAGUGCACUUCACCCAACAUUUUAGAAAGAAUCAGCAAUGUAUUGUGAUUUUCAACGGAGCCCCCGUCAUCGUGGAAGUUUGUCAAUAACGUGUAUAGAAUUUUGGAGAACUUGCCUAUUGACAACACCUUCGAAUUAAUUUCUGAUAGUCAUCCUCACUGUUACUGUCAGCGUCGUCAACAUUAUCGUCAACAUCUUUGAAGUC